UACGGAGGGUGCGAGCGUUAUCCGGAUUUACUGGGUUUAAAGGGUGUGUAGGCGGGCUGGUAAGUCAGGGGUGAAAUCCCGGAGCUCAACUCCGGAACUGCCUUUGAUACUACUGGUCUUGAAUAUUGUUGAGGUGGGCGGAAUGUGUCAUGUAGCGGUGAAAUGCAUAGAUAUGACACAGAACACCGAUUGCGAAGGCAGCUCACUGGGCAAUUAUUGACGCUGAGGCACGAAAGCGUGGGGAUCAAACAGG
rnacentral:rRNA from 1 species